UACGUAGGGUGCGAGCGUUAAUCGGAAUUAUUGGGCGUAAAGCGUCCGCAGGUGGCACCUCAAGUCUGCUGUCAAAGACCGGGGCUUAACCCCAGAAAGGCAGUGGAAACUGAAGUGCUAGAGUGCAGUAGGGGUAGAGGGAAUUCCCGGUGUAGCGGUGAAAUGCGUAGAGAUCGGGAAGAACAUCGGUGGCGAAAGCGCUCUGCUGGACUGCAACUGACACUCAGGGACGAAAGCUAGGGGAGCGAAUGGG
rnacentral:rRNA from 1 species